AUUGAACGCUGGCGGCAUGCCUUACACAUGCAAGUCGAACGGCAGCGGGGGAGAAGCUUGCUUUUCCUGCCGGCGAGUGGCGAACGGGUGAGUAAUACAUCGGAACGUGCCCUGUAGUGGGGGAUAACUAGUCGAAAGAUUAGCUAAUACCGCAUACGACCUGAGGGUGAAAGUGGGGGACCGCAAGGCCUCAUGCUAUAGGAGCGGCCGAUGUCUGAUUAGCUAGUUGGUGGGGUAAAGGCCUACCAAGGCGACGAUCAGUAGCUGGUCUGGGAGGACGAUCAGCCACACUGGGACUGAGACACGGACCAGACUCCUACGGGAGGCAGCAGUGGGGAAUUUUGGACAAUGGGCGAAAGCCUGAUCCAGCAAUGCCGCGUGUGUGAAGAAGGCCUUCGGGUUGUAAAGCACUUUUGUCCGGAAAGAAAUGGCUCUGGUUAAUACCUGGGGUCGAUGACGGUACCGGAAGAAUAAGGACCGGCUAACUACGUGCCAGCCGCCGCAGUAA
rnacentral:rRNA from 1 species